GGUAUGCCCAAAAACAAGAGUCUUGGUCCUAAACCUCACAUUACCUACCCCCAAAGUUAUACAUGCAAGCCUCAACAGGACAGUGAGUCGCCCACACAAUCCCAAAAGAACAAGUGGAGCCGGCAUCAGACCAUAAAUACCCUAAUCAAUAACGCCACGUCAACACCACGCCUACACAGGUAGCUCAGCAGUAACCAAAAUUAGGCAAUGAGCGAAAGCUCGACCUAGUCACGGGGAGAAAAGCCGGUAAAACUCGUGCCAGCUACCGCGGUUAUACGAGAGGCUUAAGAUAAUGCCAACGGCGAAAAGAUGGCCAGAGAGAAGCCCAAAAAUUAAGGAUAAAAGCUGAACUGGCUGUCUAACGCCAAACUAAGAGAAAACCGCCGCCUUAACACAAGGACAACUUCAGCCACAAAAGCUGAGAAACAAACUAGGAUUAGAUACCCUACUAUGCCCAGCCACACAAGGCACCAAACACACUGCCCGCCCGACUAGUACAGGUGAAAGCCUGAAACUCAAAGGACUUGACGGUGACCCACAUCAACCUAGAGGAGCCUGUCCCAUAAUCGAUAACCCGCGCUUAACCCAACCACCCCUUGCCAAUCAGUCUAUAUACCGCCGUCGUCAGCUCACCCUGCGAGGGUUUUAAAGUGAGCCAAACCGUAAUACACUAAAACGUCAGGUCAAAGCGUAGCACAUGGGGCGGAAUCAGAUGGGCUACAUUUUCUUUAAAGAAUUUACGAAAGUCAUAAUGAAAAACUGCCUGAAGCUGGAUUUAGUAGUAAGAUAAACAAGCAUGCUUGUCUGAACAAACGCACUGGGACGCGUACACACCGCCCGUCACCCCCAUCUCAUACCUCCAAACAAUUCAUAAAAAACAAGCCAAUCAAAGAUGGGGUAAGUCGUAACAUGGUAAGUGUACUGGAAAGUGCACUUGAACAC
rnacentral:ncRNA from 1 species